rnacentral:rRNA from 1 species
CAGCCGCCGCGGGAAUACGUAGGGUGCGAGCGUUCAUCGGAUUUACUGGGCGUAAAGCGUGCGCAGGCGGCCCGUUAAGACAGGUGUGAAAUCCCUGGGCUCAACCUAGGAAUUGCGCUUGUGACUGGCGGGCUCGAGUACGGUAGAGGGGGGUGGAAUUCCUGGUGUAGCAGUGAAAUGCGUAGAGAUCAGGAGGAACACCGAUGGCGAAGGCAGCCCCCUGGGCCUGUACUGAAGCUCAUGCACGAAAGCGUGGGGAGCAAACAGGAUUAGAUACCCUGGUAGUCCACGCCCUAAACGAUGGGUACUAGCCGUUUGGUGCGCGAUAGCGCUGAGUGGCGAAGCUAACGCGUGAAGUACCCCGCCUGGGGAGUACGGCCGCAAGGUUGAAACUUAAAGGAAUUGGCGGG